UUAAACUCGUUAUACUUGAACUUCUUAAAACCGUCUAAAAGAUGGAUUUCUGGAGGUCUGUAAGAUCAUUUGACUUAAAUUUCUGCUGGCAAGCGACUAAACCGGUGAGUUUGUAAGCAAAAGAAAAACUCGCAGGGAGUCAUACCUCGAAAAUACGGUGUACAGGGCAGCAGUUUUUAGCCUUAUUCGACCAAUUUGGAGUGCCGACGUUGGAGGUAUGAGCUAGUGCCGCGUAAUGGCGGAAGUGCCUUUCCUUUGUCAAAUGGCACCUUAAUAAUUCGGCAUAGUAAAGUGCUGAGACCAAUUUUCUCUUGUAUAGAUAGUUGAGAUGGAUCACAUCUUGUUAAUCUCAACACGUUUCUGGCCGAUAGCACAGUUUACGUCUCUUUAGGAGUAGAUUCGCAGAGUGAAAAUCACAGAUGCUUGGUUUCUGAUGUGCAGUAGUGGAUCCAUGUUCCUCAUGGAAUGAGGGAUAAACUCAUAUAAAAACGAAAUUAAACUCGAAAUAAAACUCGAAAUUUUUGAAGUCUAAGUCGGUUUGAGUGAUGUGAAAGAGUAGAGAAUAAAAAAACUUUUUGGAAAGUGGGUUUCAGUCAGUUACAUACUUCGAUUUCAACAGAUUUCGAUCUCUCAACCAACAUGUAGGCGCUACAUUGUAGGGUAUUAAGUAACCCAUAUUCGUCUUUAGUAUGUAACCAAAUUUGUCGAUCGCGUGCCAAAAGUUGUUAACCCAAAAUCGUGGACUGUGGAAGAGCGCGAGAGCGCCGUACAUGCUUCGAGAGCACUCAUGAUGCAAUGAUGAAACACUCAUUGCAUGCUAUCGAACGCAAGCGCCACAAUGUUAAUGUGACUUUGUUGUUAAUGCAAGCCAAAAGCAGCAACAGUCACCAGGCAGCCAGUAGUCGCGCCUGAAUACUCGGCCGUGCAGCGUGCGUUUGGGGAACAGCGGAAAAGUGAACGUAGCGAACGAGCGUGUUGUGAGGUGUUUGCCUUAGUUGUUUGUUGUCACAAAAACAAAACAAGAAGAAAUAUAGCAAACAAUUCAGGAAAAGCACAAAGGCAGCCAAUACAAUUUCCGACUCAGCAUGUAAAUCAGCAUAUAUAAAUCGAAAUUGGUUUUAGCAAAGCAUCGUAUGCUUAUAUCUAAAUUUUCAUCAAUGUUCAGAGAGUUCAAAUGUCGAGCACAAAGCUGCCAAACAUAAACUGUAGACUCCAAGCUUCUUAAUUAAAAGUACAAUAACCAACAAUGGGCAAUUCUUGUAAAAAAUCACAAAAAAUACCAGACGAUGUUGAUGAUGGCCUUGAAACAUUGGAGGAAUAUCGGAGCCGUUGGCGUUCUGUGCGCGUCAUUUAUUUCACAAUGUUCCUGAUGUCACUUGGUUUCAGUAUAAUACUUACUGGCAUAUGGCCGUACUUAAAUAAGCUAGAUCCAAAGGCGGGAAAAGAGUUCAUGGGUCUCAUUGUUGCUGCAAAUCCGUUGGGUCAGAUGAUUUUCAGUCCGCUCUUCGGUUGGUGGAGCAAUAAAAUUGGCACCAUUCGUUUACCCUUACUAUGCUCGUUAGCGUUAUUCACAUUCGCAAGUGGGCUUUAUUCAUCACUAGAAAUGCGUCCUGAUCAUGUCAAAUACUGGAUGUUGAUCUCACGUUUUUUAAUUGGCGUCAGUUCGGCAAAUAUUGCUGUUUGUCGUUCGUAUUUAUCGGCGGCGACACGUUUGAGCGAACGCACAAAAGCCGUUUCGAUGGUGUCGCUGGCACAGGUAUUGGGUUUCAUUGUGGGACCCGGUCUACAGACGGCUGUAACACCAUUGGGCAAUGAUGGCUAUAGUUUUCUUUGGGGUUUCAUUGUUUUCAACAUGUAUACAGCUUGUGGUUGGAUAAAUGUACUUAUGAGCAUUGGUAACUUUAUAAUGUUUCUGCCGGGACUUUUUGAGGAACAUAAGAUAGCUGCGCGCGAAAUAAUGAUAAAACAGGGUAAAAGUUCGGAACGUGAAACGUGGAAGGCCAUCAAACCGGACUACGUGUCAGCGUGGACCUUGAUUAUGGCAUUUUUCGUGUUGGUCUUCAACUUUGUGCUGCUCGAAACACUCGGCACCUCUCUAACCAUGGAUCAGUUUGCAUGGAGCAAUCAUGAAGCACUCUACUACAUGGGCAUAUUGAUGUCAGUGGGUGCCAUUGUGGCGCUCGCCACAUUCGUUGCCAUCAAUCCGCUUUGUAAAGUUUUUCCCGAACACUAUGUGCUCAUAUGGGGUGGCUUUUCCUUAAUGGUACUCGGGCGUGUGCUGUAUAUACCUUGGGGCGAUGGACCACCUGUUAUUGCUGAAGUUUACAAUGACACAAUACCGCUGACGGGCAAUGCUACAAUAGAUCUCGAACCGAAUGAUAUAGUAUUUCUUGGGUGUCCUAAAACACAGCCAUGGUGUGAGCUAACACCAGCGCUGACCUUAACACAAUUUAUCAUCGGCUAUGCAUUCACCUCGAUCGGUUAUCCGAUCGGUGUCACUUUGAUACAAACGAUCUUCUCAAAGGUAUUGGGACCACGACCGCAAGGUGUUUGGAUGGGUCUGAUGACCGGUGCCGGAUGUUUGUCGCGCGUAUUGGGACCGGUUUUUGUUGGUGUGAUCUAUACACGUUAUGGUACGUACUGGACGUUCGGCAUAACGUCGGUGAUGAUGUUCGUAGCGAUGAUAUGGUUGCUAUUAUCGAAAAAACGUCUGAUACCACCGAGUUUCGACAAUUCUAUGGGUGCCGAAAUGCAAACACUGAGUACAAAUAAAGUGCCACUACAAUCAGAGGAAGCCGAGUACAAAAUAGUGCCACAAAUUAAUGACGUAGUGCCGGCGUUGAUAGAGAAUGAAGAUGAACUGGAUACUGCUCUAAAUACAGCGCUGUAUUCGAAAAGAAAUAGUAUAACUAUAGUUGUAGGGGAAAAGUGAUGUUUUUAUACAGUUAUAAGUAUAAAAUGUACCGCGGAAGCUACCUUUUUAAUAGCUACGACUUUUAGGUACACUUAGUUUCGAUAGGGAAGAAAAAAUUGUUUGUUGUAUAUUAACCCAGGUUCGAAAAAAAGUAUAAGCUACAAGUUUGUAAAAACAUAUGAAAAAACACUUCUAACCUUCUUUAAAAUGUUUUUUUUGUGAAUAUAGAGUUAUAUAUUUCUAAAAAUAAAUUAUGUAUAUGAUAGUAUUAAAAUUAAUUAAGUUUUAAAUUAUAGUUUUUUUACAGUUGACAAGUGUAUUGCCAUUGUUUACUUAAGAAGAAUCCAUAAUUUUAUAUAUUUAUAUAUGUUUACAAAUAUAUGUAUAUGUAUUAAAUUUGAAUAUUUUUAUAAACACAUAUUUAACUAAAGUUAUGAAACAUUAAGCAAUAAUAGUAUAUUUUUGAAAUAUUUUUCAAGGUCAAUAUUAAAAAAUAAAUUUUUGAGAAUUAUAAACGUUGAUUGAGCAUAUCGUUAAGGUUCCAAAAGAACGAGAGCGAAAUUUGCUAUAUUUACUCAUUAAUGAAUAAACGGCUCGACGAGACAUUUGUUUCUUAACGGUUUCUAAAUUAAACCUGAAACGUUUAGAUCUUAUACCUUUAAUAGAACUAAUUGUAAUCUAAAUAAAUCGCCUAAGCAGAUUUGUAAUAGGUCCAAUCCAAAUAUGAGGUUAGGUUCGCUUAGGUUACGUGGUCAAUCUUAAUAGGAAUUUGAUUUGAACAGUUUAGAACGCUGCUUUUUUGUGGUACUUAUAUAAUAUGUAGAUCAUUAGACUCUUACAAAUCAACAUCAACGGCUAAUGUCAGUUUCGGCUAUGUCUUCUGGUUCACCGAAGUUAAGACUACCAAAAUGUUUCUAUCUCAGUCUUGCAAAGGCUGGACAAUGAACAAUGUUUCCGCCUCACUCGCCACCAUAUAACUUACGUACGCAAUGAAUUUAAACCUUACCGCAAGAAUGCCUAUAUGGACAAUGUACAGUAAGAGUUCAAAUAUGAGAUAGGCCAAAGAAUUUAACUUGCAACUGUUGUUUUUGCCAUGUGUUUGUAGUCCGCUAAUAAACAAAGCUGCUUGCAAUCAAGAACAUGAUAAAUAUUAUAUAAUAUUUUACUUUUAAAACAAGCAAAGAUUCGUUUGAAAAUAAUAUUUUUACAAAUUCGUGUUCGCGCUAAUAUUUCUACUUGUAUUCACUUCAGUAUCAGCUAUUGUUAUCGGCUUGCAUUGUGAAUGAUUUGAUCUCAUAUAAAUAACUCUCUUAAUAAACAAAACGUUCAAGACUCAAUACACUUUAAGAGAGCCAUUUGUAUGCAACUGUUUUCUUGACUGCUAUGUAUACUUUUCUGACUAGCUUUUACAAAACUGAAAGCAACGUACUGACCCAACUUGUUUUACUGAUGGGUUCUUCAGAGACCGGUUAGUGAUUUCACUAAAAAAAGCUUAUAGAACUACUUAAUACUGAUUGCUACGCUAUCAUUAUCGAUAUAAAUAGUAACGAGAUAUUUGUUAGCUUUUCAGUCUUUCACUAGCCUUCAGUAAAGCAAGUCGUUGUUGUUCUUUUCGAAACUAAGUGUUAAUAUAAUGGAACGUUGGCAAAAUCGUGUUGCAGCCGUUACCGGCGCUAGCUCCGGCAUAGGUGCUGCUACCGUUAAGGAUCUGCUGAAAGCUAAUUUAAUUGUUGUCGGUCUGGCGCGUCGCUUGGAGCGCAUGGAAGAACUGAAGGCACAAUUACCAGCUGAACAACAAAAACGCUUCCAUGCCGUCGCUUGCGAUGUUUCAUCACAAGAAUCCGUUGAUGCGGCAUUCGAUUGGAUCAUCAAGGAGUUGGGUGGCGUCGAUAUUCUUAUCAAUAACGCGGGUAUCUUUAAAGCUGGCCACGUUAGCAUUAUGAAUCCGGUGGAAAUGCAACAAGUCAUACAAACCAACGUUAUGGGCGUGGUAUAUUGCACACAACGUGCCUUUAAAUCGAUGAAAGAACGUAAUUUUGAUGGUCAUGUAGUUGUGGUUAAUAGUGUCUUGGGUCAUAGUAUACCUUUCACAGUUGGUGACAAUAAACCACCGAUAAUGAAUGUUUAUGCGCCCUCUAAGUUUGCGCUAACUGCCCUUACGGAGAUACUGCGUCAGGAAUUUAAAGGACUAAGCACCAAGAUUAAGAUUACUAGCGUUAGUCCCGGUUUAACCGAUACGGAAAUUGUGCCAGAACAAUAUAAGAGCGCUAAGAUUCCAUCUCUAAAAUCGGAGGAUGUUUCGAGCUGUAUUUUGUUUACACUCUCUACACCACCACAUAUGCAGGUGCACGAGAUCACUGUGAAGCCGGCUUUGGGCGAAUAAAUCCAUAAAAAAUAUAUAUGUUUAUAUAUAUUUCGUUAAGUAGCUCCAUCAAAUGUUUAUGAAGGUCUAAUAUAUAUAAUAAUAAUACUUAAAUUGUAAAUUAUCUAAUUAAUUGCAAUAAAAUUAAUUUUAUUUGA